GCUCAGUUAGUUAAACAUCUGACUUCAGCUCAGGUCAUGAUCUCACAGCUCGUGGGUUCAAGUCCCGUAUUGCGCU
rnacentral:tRNA from 1 species